ensembl:lncRNA
AUCCCCUCAAAAUAACUCAACACACAGCCAUUAAUGUCUAAACCGCUGACAACAAAAGUGAGUACACCCCCAAGUAAAAAUGUCCAAAUCGGGCCCAAUUAGCCAUUUUCCCUCCCCGGUGUCAUGUGACUUGUUAGUGUUACAAGGUCUCAGGUGUGAAUGGGGAGCAGGUGUGUUAAAUUUGGUGUCAUCGCUCUCACACUCCCUCAUACUGGUCACUGGAAGUUCAACAUGGCACCUCAAGGCAAAGAACUCUGAGGAUGUGAAAAAAAUAAUUGUUGCUCUACAUAAAGAUGACCUAGGCUUUAAGAAGAUUACCAAGACCCUGACACCGAGCUGCAGCACGGUGGCCAAGACCAUACAGCGGUUUAACAGGACAGGUUCCACUCAGAACAGGCCUCGCCAUGGUCGACCAAAGAAGAAGUUGAGUGCACGUGCUCAGCGUCAUAUCCAGAGGUUGUCUUUGGGAAAUAGUGCUGCCAGCAUUGCUGCAAAGGUUGAAGGGGUGGGGGGUCAGCCUGGGCUUUGGACACUGCAGACACAAACACAAAAUCAAGUUUAUAUACGACAAUGUAUUACUCUAAUAGGUUAUUGAUUGUGCAUAUACUAUAUGCAUGUAGAACCCCUACAUGCUUUGCGUUUAAUUUAUGUAAGGAAUAAACAUGCAGUUAAACGAGCUUCAUUUUGGUAAAAUGUUAAUAUGAUGAUGUGUUUGACCUUAUAUACAGCCACAAUACCAACUGUAACAGUGUUGACAGGUUUUUAUUUCCUGAAAAUAACAGUGUGUCAUGAGGUUUCCACUUGAGAGUGACAUGUACAGUGUCCUCCACUAAUAUUGGCACCCUUGGUAAAUAUGAGCAAAGAAGAAAACGUUUUGUUCAAAAAAAAUUCACAAAAAUACUCUGCUCUCAUGGAUAAACAAUUGCAAACACCACAAGUUUAUAAAAAAAUAUUUGUUAAAUGAGUGUACAACAAUUAUUGGCACCCCUAUGAAUCCAUGAGAAAUGUAUUUGAAGUAUAUUCCCCUUGAUAUUUUACUUUUUUGUACACUUGACUUCCUGUUUCACAGGGAUAGGUAACGCAUAAGCCAAAUUCUCUUACUCAUUCAGAACAAUAAGUGAGGCCAAGAUAUAUUCAG